rnacentral:misc_RNA from 1 species
GAUGAAGAACGCAGUGAAAUGCGAUAAGUAAUGUGAAUUGCAGAAUUCAGUGAAUCAUCGAAUCUUUGAACGCACAUUGCGCCCGCCAGUAUUCUGGCGGGCAUGCCUGUCUGAGCGUCAUUUCAACCCUCAAGCAACUUCUGCUUGGUGUUGGGGAUCGGCCGUCAAACGCCGCCCCCGAAAUCUAUUGGCGAUCUCGCUGUAGCUUCCUAUGCGUAGUAGUAACACCUCGCAUCUGGAGAGCGGCGCGGUCAUGCCGUAAAACACCCAACUUCUCAGGUUGACCUCAGAUCAGGUAGGAAUACCCGCUGAACUUAAGCAUAUCAAUAAGCGGAGGA